GUGCUCACUUCAGCAGCACGUGUACUAAAAUUGGAAUGAUACAGAGAAGAUUAGCAUGGCCCCUGUGCAAAGAUGACAUAUAAAUUCGUAUAGUGUUCCAUAUUAAA
ensembl:snRNA U6 U6 spliceosomal RNA